GCUCGCUGCCGGUGAGGCAAAGACCGGGUCUGUUGGACCCGGGGAAACCGAUGAGCAUGCGCACUGAAGGCCGGGCGGAGCCGGUGCGCAUGCGCCCUCGAAGCGCGGAGCCGGCUGGUUGCUGUGGCAACGAGGAGCAAGUCUGAGCCCGUGGAGUCGGGAGAAGAAGAAGAGAAGUUUUUGUAAUGUGGUGCUAGAGUUUGCUGAAGCCACACCACUGUGUUUCCUGAUAGAGCAUGUUGAAAAAUAAGGAUCAUUCAUCUAAAAAAGGUAACUUAGCAGUCACUGCAGUUGCCUUACAGGACCACAUUUUACAUGAUCUUCAACUUGGACAUCUCUCAGUAGCAGAUCCUUGGAAGACAAAAGUGCAAAAGAAUGAGAACAAGUCAAAAUCUCUGAAAAGAAAUGCAAAGGCCAUAAUAGAUACUGGGCUUAGAAAAACUACAGAGAGCCCCAAAGUGGAAGAUCCAGAAAGGGAAUAUGUUCUAGACCCCACACCACCAUCAUUAAGUUUAGCCCAGAAACUAGGCCUCUUGGCACCUCCCCCAUUGCCACUGUCAUCUGAUGAAUGGGAGAAAGUGAAGCAGAGAUCCCUCCUGCAAGGGGACUCCACGCAGCCGUGCCCAAUAUGUAAAGAAGAGUUUGAGCUCCGUCCCCAGGUGCUGCUUUCCUGCUCACAUGUAUUCCACAAGGCAUGCCUUCAGGCUUUUGAAAAGUUCACAAAUAAAAAAACCUGUCCCCUCUGUAGAAAGAACCAGUAUCAAACCAGAGUGAUACAUGAUGGGGCCCGCCUGUUCAGAGUAAAGUGUGCCACCAGAAUCCAAGCCUAUUGGAGAGGAUACAUCGUUAGAAAGUGGUACAAAAAUCUGAGAAAAAUAAUCCCUCCUACGGAUGCCAAUUUAAGAAGAAAGUUCUUUGAGGAAAAGUUCACAGAAAUCAGCCACCGAAUCCUGUGCUCAUAUAACACCAACAUAGAUGAACUCUUCUCAGAAAUUGACCUCUGCAUGGCUGUAAAUCGCAGCAUUCUUCAGCAGCUAGAUGAAAGAUGUAGCUGUGAGAUCACUGAGGAGAAAUGGGAGAAAAUCCAAGAGCAGGCUGCUCACCGUGAGAUCUAUGAAUGUUCCAUCUGUCUGACUCCACUGUCCCUCCAUGGUGACUGCCGGCAAGCAGCUGUAGAGACUAGCAGUCAGCAUCCCCGAACGACAGUCCUUCUGUCCUGUGCACAUGUGUUCCACCAUGCCUGCCUUCUGGCCUUGGAGGAGUUUUCUGUGGGAGACAAUGCUCCUUUCCAUGUCUGUCCUCUCUGCCGCUCCUGCUACCAAAAGAAAAUUCUUGAAUGCUGAAUUCAUGUUCAGGAAGUUAAAGCUAAGACUAGAACAAGAAAGGGGAACCAAAUAGCACUACAACGGAUUUGGCCAAAUAUCAUCUUUGAUGACCUCUCCUAACUCAUCUGCACCUGCAUCAGAAUGGUUGGUGAACCAGUGCACUUUGAAGAUGGGUCACCACUCUCAUUCAGAUGAAGUUCUUUGGAGAGAACUUUAUUUUCAAAGCCAGGCCAGGCUGACAUGUUCUCCAACUUUGGGGCAGGAGCCAGUCUGGAUUUCUUGGACUGAGGAAGGCUUGCAG